CCAUGUCAGGGUCAUGGGAGCAUGAG
rnacentral:misc_RNA from 1 species